rnacentral:sRNA from 1 species
AGAAUACAAGAGAAAAC